UCCUACGGGAGGCAGCAGUAGGGAAUAUUACUCAAUGGGGGAAACCCUGAAGCAGCAACGCCGCGUGGAGGAUGAAGGUUUUCGGAUUGUAAACUCCUUUUGUUAGAGAAGAUAAUGACGGUAUCAAACGAAUAAGCACCGGCUAACUCCGUGCCAGCAGCCGCGGUACUACGGAGGGUGCAAGCGUUACUCGGAAUCACUGGGCGUAAAGAGCGCGUAGGCGGGAUAGCAAGUCAGAUGUGAAAUCCUAUGGCUUAACCAUAGAACUGCAUUUGAAACUGUUAUUCUAGAGUAUGGGAGGGGUG
rnacentral:rRNA from 1 species